AGCAGCAAUGCUUAGUGGCGACCUUGUGAGUAACACGUAGUUGACCUGCCCCUCAGCGGGGGACAACAGUUCGAAAGGACUGCUAAUACCGCAUACAUUUGUAUCGUUUAGAAGGGUACAAAGAAACUUACGGGGUUGAGGGAGGGGACUGCGGCCCAUCAGGUAGUUGGUGAGGUAGAAGCUCACCAAGCCGACGACGGGUAGGGGGCCUGAGAGGGUGACCCCCCACACUGGAACUGACAUACGGUCCAGACUCCUACGGGAGGCAGCAGUAAGGGAUAUUGCGCAAUGGGCGAAAGCCUGACGCAGCAACGCCGCGUGGAGGAUGAAGGCCCUCGGG
rnacentral:rRNA from 1 species